rnacentral:rRNA from 1 species
AUUGAACGCUGGCGGCAGGCCUAACACAUGCAAGUCGAACGGUAACAGGAAACAGCUUGCUGUUUCGCUGACGAGUGGCGGACGGGUGAGUAAUGUCUGGGAAACUGCCUGAUGGAGGGGGAUAACUACUGGAAACGGUAGCUAAUACCGCAUAACGUCGCAAGACCAAAGAGGGGGACCUUCGGGCCUCUUGCCAUCAGAUGUGCCCAGAUGGGAUUAGCUAGUAGGUGGGGUAACGGCUCACCUAGGCGACGAUCCCUAGCUGGUCUGAGAGGAUGACCAGCCACACUGGAACUGGGACACGGUCCAGACUCCUACGGGAGGCAGCAGUGGGGAAUAUUGCACAAUGGGCGCAAGCCUGAUGCAGCCAUGCCGCGUGUAUGAAGAAGGCCUUCGGGUUGUAAAGUACUUUCAGCGGGGAGGAAGGGAGUAAAGUUAAUACCUUUGCUCAUUGACGUUACCCGCAGAAGAAGCACCGGCUAACUCCGUG